rnacentral:rRNA from 1 species
GUGUCAGCCGCCGCGGUAAUACGGGGGGUGCAAGCGUUAUUCGGAAUUAUUGGGCGUAAAGAGCGCGUAGGCGGUCUUUUAAGUCAGAUGUGAAAGCCCGGGGCUCAACCCCGGAAGUGCAUUUGAAACUAGAAGACUUGAGUAUGGGAGAGGGAAGUGGAAUUCCUGGUGUAGAGGUGAAAUUCGUAGAUAUCAGGAGGAACACCGGUGGCGAAGGCGACUUCCUGGACCAAUACUGACGCUGAGGCGCGAAGGCGUGGGGAGCAAACAGGAUUAGAUACCCCGGUAGUCC